GCUGUGUGAGGGUGCUGGUAGUGUGCUAUGUGGGUGAGGGUGUUUUUGUGUGUGUUUGUGAGAGUGCUGUUAGUGUGCUGUGUGUGAGGGUGCUGUUUGUGUGCUGUGUGUGAGGGAACUGGUAGUGUGCUGUGUGUGUGUGAGAGGGUGUUUGUGUGUGUGUGUUUGUUCGGGUCCUGUUAGUGUGCUGUUUGUGUGCUGUGUGUUUGUCAGAGUGCUGUUUGUGUGUGAGUGUGCUGUUUGUGUGUUUGUGAGGAUGCUGUUAGUGUGCUGGGUGUGUGGGGGUGCUGUAUGUGUGUGGGGGCUGUGUGUGCUGUGUGUGUGUGUGUGUGUGUGCUGUAUGUUUGGGUGGAGGUGGGGGCAGAUUAGUUAUUAUCCCAGUCCUGCUGCCUUCCCUGGUGGUUCAGUGGAGAGUGAACUCUAGCCCGGGUUCUCUGCUGCCUCCCUCCAUACUGCUGUGGACCGGUGAGGUAGAACUUUGAUCUCCCCACCGGCCCAUGGAGGCUUAGACCAGAGCCGCCGCUCGGAUAGCGUUGUCGUGCCGCGGGGAUUAGGGUGUGCCCAUGCACACCUGACACACCCCGUGCUCACGCCUAUGGAAGUGAGGGAUGGGGGAGACAGCCUACAUGAAGAGUCAGCAAGGAGCAGGAAGGUAAAGUAAGAAAAGGAGAAGGAACAGAAAUAAGCAGGAAGGGACAUCAAGGAGCAGAAAGGGGCAGCAAGGAGCUGGAAGGGACAUCAAGGAGCACAAAAGGUAAAGUAGGAGAAGGAGCACAAAGGAACAGAAAUGAACAGGAAGGGUCAGCAAGGAGCUGGAAGGUAAAGCAGCACAAAGGUAAAGUAGAAGGAGCAGAAAGGGUCAGAAAUGAGCUGGAAGGGGCAGAAUGAGCACAAACGUAAAAUAGGAGAAUGAGCAGGAAGGGCCUGCAAAGAGCAGGAAGGAGCACAAAGGUAAAGGAGCAGAAAGAAUCAGAAGGAGCACAAAGGUAAAGUAGGAGAAGGAGCACAAAGGGACAGCAAGGAGCACAAAGAUAAAGUAGAAAAGGGAGCAGAAAGGGUCUGCAAGGAGCAGAAAGGGAUCAGAAUGAGAAAGGAGCAGAAGGGUGCAAAAUAAGCAGAAAGUAGCAGAAAGGUAAAAUAGCAGAAGGGGCCAAGGAUAGAAAACAGUGUCAGAAGAUAUUUUAUUGUUCAAUACAAACUUGAUUCUACAGUUUAACACAACAUAGUUCAAUGUGUAGUCAUAGGACAUGCCAUUAUUUGAGAUUAGUGUAAGAGAAUCUCUAAGGAAGCAGCUGUUACCAUUAUGUUUAAGUGACUUCCUCAUCAUUGAUAAACAGGAACCAGGUUAGAGACAGUUACAGUUUAAAAGAAUAAUGGAAGUUUAAUAGUAUAUUAGAGCGUCUUGAGAAUUUCAAUAUGAAAACCAAAAAUACAAAUACCACACUUAAAGCAUCAAAACACGAUGAAAUUGUAGUUAGUAUGUCUAUAUUGCCACCUAAUACGGGGCAAAAUAAGAGAGGCAAAAACAGCUUGUUCUUGAAAUAGAUAAAACAAAUAUUUUCUAUAAUGAAUUCAUGUAACAUAAGU